ensembl:lncRNA
AGCACUUUAUCAGCAGCAGCAUUUUUGGACAAUCCUUCAUUCUUGCUUUAGAUGGAUUCAAGAUGUCUCACAUCUAAAAUAUAUAACUAAAUAUAUGCACCAAAUACAUUUUGAGCAUCUAAAUACAAUGUAUAAAGAUUUCAGCACUGAUCACAAGGAUAUCCAGAGUUACACUGAAGCUUGAUGAUAGCAGUAAGUACACACAGAUUUUGGUAAGCUCUGUUAUCUGUAAGUACCAUGUAAAUGACACCUGUCUCCUGUAGUAUCACAAAACUCUCUGGAAAGGAAAAAGCCUGUGAAUAGUAAUUUUGGGUUUUGUUUGUUUAAACAAGGGAUCCUUUUAACCUAAGAGGCAGGACAGUUUGCUUUUUAAAUCAAUGUGUUCAUUAGGUUUUUAUCUAUCAAGGUUACAGUGCAUCCGGAAAAGUAUUCACAGCGCUUCACUUUUUCCACAUUUUGUUAUGUUACAGCCUUAUUCCAAAAUGGAUUAAUUAUUUUCCGCAAAAUUCUACAAACAAUACCCUAUAAUGACAUCGUGAAAGAAGUUUGUUUGUAAUCUUUUCAAAUUUAUUAAAAAUAAAAAACAAAAAAAGCACAUGUACAUAAGUAUUCACAGCCUUUGCUCAAUACUUUGUUGAAGCACCUUUGGCACCAAUUACUGCCUCAAGUCUGUUUUAGCAUGAUGCUACAAGCAUGGCACACCUAUUUUUGGGCAGUUUCUCCAAUUCUUCUUUGCAGAACCUCUCAAGCUCCAUCAGGUUGGAUGGGGAGCGUCGGUGCACAGCCAUUUUCAGAUAUCUCCAGAGAUGUUAAUAAGAUGUGGAAAAAGUGAAGCGCUGUGAAUACUUUCCGGAUGCACUGUACAUGUGGAAGAAUAGGAAGUAGAUAUAAGAUGAUAAGAUGAACUCGCCUGCCCCACCCUUACAGUCAUGCCAAAGCAAUGCUUUUAUAAUGGGACCAGCAACAUAAACAGAAUAUGUUUGGUAAACAGAUAAACAAAGUGCAUAAGGUAUAAAAUUCAGUCAGGUUGGUAACAUCAAAUAGAAUAUCAAAUGCCUUACAGGUUUUCUGUCACAGAUUUUAAGUUAAGGAAAUUAGGAUUACAGGACAAUUUCUUAUAAAUUCUUAUAGGUAACUAGACCUAUACAGCAGGGAUGUCAACAGCUUGUCAAGACACAAACAUGUCUAGAUUCUAAGAAAGAAUUUUGCCAGUAUACACAGUACAUCUCAUCACUCACUCACUUUCUUUGAUCAUCUCAGGCCUUUAGGACAGUAUAUCCAAGCUCACUGCUCAUACUGAUCCUGGCUUCUCAUCAGCUGCUCAGACUCCUAUAGGACACACUGCACAUCACAGGACACCAUCACACACAAACACAUGAGGACUCAACAGAAAGACAGAGAUGGACAAACAACCUCAAUGGAGAACCAUAGACUUGGCAAACUGAGACUGAGGAAGAGGGGCACACAGACAUAAUCAAACGAGCAAACCUCUCACGGCAGAGGAGCAGCUACAGUAUAACACUUUCCAGACUGCUGUAAUGAUGCAAACAAGAGACACCACAAGACCCCAUCUCCCUUACAAAGCCAGAACAAUCUCAAACUAGACACAGAGGAUGUGUUAGACACACAUCCUCAUAACUGAACAGUAUGGACUACUGGAAAGACAAAUUUAGCUUAAUCAAGAAAAGGAGCUUUUGAUAACUCUCAAAGUGUGCCUUAUAAUGGUAGAAAAGAGGGACAAAAAAAGCCUUGUCUAAACAGGCAUAGAAAAAUAAAGACAUUAUGGAUUUAUGAAUGUAAAAAAUUUGAAUGUUAGAUAUGAAUGAAUUUUCAGUGCAAUUUUAAGGGACCUUUAUAAUAAUAGUGUAUAAUAUAGCCUAUUUUAAUAAGCAAAUUGCUGAAAAGAAUGAAACUAGCAUCAAUGCUCCAGUGUAUGUGUCUGUGUGUGCAUGUGUUGCUUCCACAUUUUACAUCAUUUUACAUCAGAUCAUUAUGCACACAGCAUCAAGUCUGCUUCUCCCAGGCCACCUCAUAUAUGAAAAAUAUCAACAGAGCACAAUGCAAAUUCCCAAAUUAUAUUUGAUACCAGCUUAAUACCAUUUAGCAGUUAUGAUUGUGUCACUGAAAAUGCAUCAUUUAUGACUCCUUUAUACAAGUUCAUUAUUCUGAAAACUGACUCCGAUAUUAUUACUUUAGAAACAUGGACACACUGUGAAUGUCAGAGCAGAAAGUACAAAUCCUGACGAGUCUUACACAAUGCAUAGUAAACACACAGGCACUUUCCUAAGCAAAUGCACUUCUUUCAUUAGCGUCACUUUUUUUCAGAGCUUUUUGGUGGAUAUACCCUUACGGUAAAAUCACAUACAUUUCACACAUGAUCAUGUAUCAUUUUUCCCAUGUGAGUAAUAUGUGAUCACAUGUGAAGUAGAGCCAUUUCACAUAUGCCCUGAAAUCGCAUGUGUGAACUAAAGUACAUAAUGUUACCUAAUGUGAAUAAUGUGUUCACAUGUGAAAAAAAUCACAUGGAAAUACAUGAAUCAUUUGUAAAACAACAACAACAAACAAACAGAACGCAAAUAAACAAACAAAAUGUGUAAACAAAUGAAUCUUUGUGAUAACAAAACAAAACAAAAAUAAAUCACAACAUUCCAUGAAAAAUAAAAACACAACAAAACAACAACAGCAAAAACAAAAACACCAACAACAAUCACAUGUGUAUAAAGUAAUUAUUCACAUGUGAAAUUUGUGUGAUUUCUGUAAGGGUAAUGCUUUAAGUAUUAUGCUUUAAAUACUAAAAUUUGCAUUCAUGUUUUAUAAACUUGGCACAAAAUAUUUCACUCAAAGAUAAAUUGGCAUUUAGUUUUUGUGAGUUAACAUCUAUGUUGUUAAUAAUUCUAAAUAAAUAUUUUUACUUAAACC